rnacentral:rRNA from 1 species
UACAGAGGGGGCAAGCGUUAUUCGGAAUUAUUGGGCGUAAAGGGCGCGUAGGCGGUCUGACAAGUGGCAGGUGAAAUCCCCGCGCUUAACGUGGGAACUGCCUUCCAAACUGUUUGACUUGAGUCCGGGAGAGGUGAGUGGAAUUCCCAGUGUAGCGGUGAAAUGCGUAGAUAUUGGGAGGAACACCAGUGGCGAAGGCGGCUCACUGGACCGGAACUGACGCUGAGGCGCGAAAGCGUGGGGAGCAAACAGG